CAAAGGUAGCGCAAUCAAUUGUCUUUUAAAUGGAGACCUGUAUGAAUGGCAUAACGAGGGUUUAACUGUCUCUUUUUUUCGGUCAAUGAAACUGAUCUGCCCGUGCAGAAGCGGGCAUACCCACACAAGACGAGAAGACCCUAUGGAGCUUUAGACGCUCACCAACCACUAAAAGAGACCCGAUCUAACGGGCUUUCAAACAAUGUGGCCCUGGUAUAAACGUCUUCGGUUGGGGCGACCACGGAGGAGAGAAAAGCCUCCGAGAGGAUUGGGGGAAACCCUAAAACCAAGAGCCACAGCUCUAAGUCACAAAAUAUUUGACCGACAACGAUCCGGCUUCUUGCCGAUCAACGGACCAAGUUACCCUAGGGAUAACAGCGCAAUCCCCUCCCAGAGUCCAUAUCGACGAGGGGGUUUACGACCUCGAUGUUGGAUCAGGACAUCCUAAUGGUGCAGCCGCUAUUAAGGGUUCGUUUGNUCAA
rnacentral:rRNA from 1 species